rnacentral:rRNA from 1 species
AUACGGAGGGGGCUAGCGUUGUUCGGAAUUACUGGGCGUAAAGCGUACGUAGGCGGACUGAUCAGUUGGGGGUGAAAUCCCAGGGCUUAACCCUGGAACUGCCUUCAAUACUGUCAGUCUUGAGAUUGGAAGAGGUGAGUGGAAUUCCUAGUGUAGAGGUGAAAUUCAUAGAUAUUAGGAGGAACACCAGUGGCGAAGGCGGCUCACUGGUCCAAUACUGACGCUGAGGUACGAAAGCGUGGGGAGCAAACAGGAUUAGAUACCCUAGUAGUCC